rnacentral:rRNA from 1 species
GACGAACGCUGGCGGCGUGCUUAACACAUGCAAGUCGAACGGAAAGGCCCUGCUUUUGUGGGGUGCUCGAGUGGCGAACGGGUGAGUAACACGUGAGUAACCUGCCCUUGACUUUGGGAUAACUUCAGGAAACUGGGGCUAAUACCGGAUAGGAGCUCCUGCUGCAUGGUGGGGGUUGGAAAGUUUCGGCGGUUGGGGAUGGACUCGCGGCUUAUCAGCUUGUUGGUGGGGUAGUGGCUUACCAAGGCUUUGACGGGUAGCCGGCCUGUGAGGGUGACCGGCCACAUGAGGACUGAGAGACGGCCCAGAGUCGUACGGGAGGCAGCAGUGGGGAAUAUUGCACAAUGGGCGGAAGCCUGAUGCAGCAACGCCGCGUGCGGGAUGACGGCCUUCGGGUUGUAAACCGCUUUCGCCUGUGACGAAGCGUGAGUGACGGUAAUGGGUAAAGAAGCACCGGCUAACUACGUG